rnacentral:rRNA from 1 species
AUUGAACGCUGGCGGCAUGCUUUACACAUGCAAGUCGAACGGCAGCACGGACUUCGGUCUGGUGGCGAGUGGCGAACGGGUGAGUAAUACAUCGGAACGUGCCCAGUUGUGGGGGAUAACUACUCGAAAGAGUAGCUAAUACCGCAUGAGAACUGAGGUUGAAAGCAGGGGAUCGUAAGACCUUGCGCAACUGGAGCGGCCGAUGGCAGAUUAGGUAGUUGGUGGGAUAAAAGCUUACCAAGCCGACGAUCUGUAGCUGGUCUGAGAGGACGACCAGCCACACUGGGACUGAGACACGGCCCAGGCUCCUACGGGAGGCAGCAGUGGGGAAUUUUGGACAAUGGGCGAAAGCCUGAUCCAGCAAUGCCGCGUGCAGGAUGAAGGCCUUCGGGUUGUAAACUGCUUUUGUACGGAACGAAAAGCUUCGGGUUAAUACCCUGGAGUCAUGACGGUACCGUAAGAAUAAGCACCGGCUAACUACGUGCCAGCAGCCGCAGUAAUAC